rnacentral:rRNA from 1 species
UACGGAGGGUGCGAGCGUUGUCCGGAAUCACUGGGCGUAAAGGGCGCGUAGGCGGCCUGAUAAGUAGGGGGUGAAAUCCUGCGGCUUAACCGCAGGGCUGCCUUCUAAACUGUCAGGCUCGAGCACAGUAGAGGCAGGUGGAAUUCCCGGUGUAGCGGUGGAAUGCGUAGAGAUCGGGAAGAACAUCAGUGGCGAAGGCGGCCUGCUGGGCUGCACCUGACGCUGAGCCGCGAAAGCCAGGGGAGCGAACGGG